CUUAGAGUUUCCCAGCUAAUCCACAGUUUGCAGGGUCAUACACAAACAACAAAAUCAUGUUAGCAAGAUGGACAGGUAGAAGCCAGGGACAAUAUUAGGUCAUGGAACCAGUGGUGUAUUUAGGAUUUGUGCUGCCCUAGGCAGGACGGUGCUCGGGCACCCCCCUCAUUAACAUUUUCCCCACCCCUUCCUGUCAAGGCCGCACAUUGACUGACAGACGCACUCUCACUGACAGACACACACACUCACUGAUAGAUGCAUACACUCAUUGACAGACACACACUCUCAAAUACACUGACACACAAUGACAUACACACACACACACUCACUGAUUUGACACACUGAUAGACAGACACACACUAUUACUCGGACACACACUGACAGACUCACACUCACUGGCAGACUCACUGACAGACGCACACUCUCACUGACAGACACAUGCACUCACUGACCGACACACAAACAUUCACUGAUCGACACACACACACAUUCACUGACAGACGCACACUCUCACUGACAGACGCACACACACACACUCACUGACUGACACAUACACACAUUCACUGACAGACACACACAUUCACCCACAGACACACACAUUCACUUAGACACACACAUUCACUCACAGACACACACA